CUAGCGGCAGGCCUAAUACAUGCAAGCUGAACGGUAAAUGUUGUAGCAAUACGAUAUGAGAGUAGCGUAAGGGUGCGUAACACGUAUGCAAUCUGCCCGCAACAGGAGGAUAGCUCCCCGAAAGGGGAAUUAAUACUCCAUAAUAUCACGAGAAGGCAUCUGAUUGUGAUUAAACUCCAAGGGGUUGCGGAUGAGCAUGCGCAUGAUUAGUUAGUUGGCGGGGUAACGGCCCACCAAGACGAUGAUCAUUAGGGGAACUGAGAGGUUGAUCCCCCACACUGGCACUGAGAUACGGGCCAGACUCCUACGGGAGGCAGCAGUAGGGAAUAUUGGUCAAUGGGUGAGAGCCUGAACCAGCCAUGCCGCGUGCAGGAAGACGGCCUUCUGGGUUGUAAACUGCUUUUAUCUGGGGUUAAAAUACCCGUGCGCGGGGAAUUGAAAGUACCAGAGGAAUAAGCCACGGCUAACUACGUGCCAGCAGCCGCGGUAAUACGUAGGUGGCAAGCGUUGUCCGGAUUUAUUGGGUUUAAAGGGUGCGUAGGCGGCCCUGUAAGUCAGUGGUGAAAUACGGCAGCUCAACUGUCGAGGUGCCAUUGAUACUGCAGGGCUAGAGUACUGAUGAGGUAGGCGGAAUGGACGGUGUAGCGGUGAAAUGCUUAGAUAUCGUCCAGAACACCGAUAGCGAAGGCAGCUUACUAAAGAGUAACUGACGCUGAGGCACGAAAGUGUGGGGAUCAAACAGGAUUAGAUACCCUGGUAGUCCACACUGUAAACGUUGAUCACUAGAUGUUGGCGAUACA
rnacentral:rRNA from 1 species